rfam:Pandoraea thiooxydans strain DSM 25325, complete genome.
CCGCAAUCCGCUACUCGGUCAGGCCGUGACGCGGAAGGUUUCUAAACCCGCUAUUUCUUGAGAAGCUCGAGAAAAAGGUGAGCG